UGGGGAAUAUUGCACAAUGGGCGCAAGCCUGAUGCAGCCAUGCCGCGUGUAUGAAGAAGGCCUUCGGGUUGUAAAGUACUUUCAGCGGGGAGGAAGGGAGUAAAGCUAAUACCUUUGCUCAUUGACGUUACCCGCAGAAGAAGCACCGGCUAACUCCGUGCCAGCAGCCGCGGUAAUACGGAGGGUGCAAGCGUUAAUCGGAAUUACUGGUCGUAAAGCGCACGCAGGCGGUGUGUAAAGUCAGAUGUGAAAUCCCCGGGGUCAACCUGGGAACUGAAUAGGAUAAUGGCAAGCUUGAGUGUCGUAGAGGGGGGUGAAAUUCCAGGUGUAGCGGUGAAAUGCGGAGGAAUCUGGGGGAAUACCGGUGGCGAAGGGGGCCCCCUGGACGAGGACUUACGCUAGGGUGCGAAAGCGUGGGGAGCAAACAGG
rnacentral:rRNA from 1 species